rnacentral:misc_RNA from 1 species
AACUGAUACUACCUGCGGGAACCUGCGGAGGGAUCAUUACUGAAGUGAUUUGGGGAUGUUGCUGGCCCUCUCUCAAGGGGGGGCGCUGUGCACUCCUCGAAACAAUUCACAAUUUCCAUCACACCCCUUGUGCACACCUUGUAGGCACCCAAACCCACCUCCGGGUGGUGGGGUCCUAUGUAUUCCUUCAUCUCACACUCUGUUGAAUGGUGCCAUGGGACGCAUCUAAAGGAUUAUUUG